GCACUACUGGUGUAGUGGUAUCAUGUAAGAUUCCCAUUCUUACGACCCGGGUUCGAUUACCGGGCAGUGCA
rfam:Ciona savignyi cont_5276, whole genome shotgun sequence.